UAGUCAUAUGCUUGUCUCAAAGAUUAAGCCAUGCAUGUCUAAGAAUAAGGGCAUUGAGCCCGAAUCUGCGAACGGCUCAUUAAACAAGUUAUAAUUUAUUUGAUAGUGGUGUUUGCACAUGGAUAACUGUGCUAACUGUAGAGCUAAUACAUGCUGACAAUUCCUUAACGGGAAUGCAUUUAUUAGAUAGUAACCAACCCGGCAACGGAGUGGAGGAAUCAUAAUAACUGAGCGAAUCGCCCGCAAGGGUGAUGCAUCAUUCAAAUUUCUUCCCUAUCAGCUUUUGACGGUAGUGUAGUGGACUACCGUGGCGGUAACGGGUAACGGAGAAUUAGGGUUCGAUUCCGGAGAGGGAGCCUUAAAAAUGGCUACCACAACUAAGGUUGGCAGCAGGCGCGCAACUUACUGACUCUCGAUUCGAGGAAGUAGUGACAAUAAAUAACGCCGUGAGGCCAUUCGGCUUCGCGGUGGAAUGAGAACAAUUUAAAUCCCUUAUCAAAUGCAACU
rnacentral:rRNA from 1 species